rnacentral:rRNA from 1 species
CAGCACCCCAAGUGGUCAGGAUGAUUAUUGGGCCUAAAGCAUCCGUAGCCGGCUCUGUAAGUUUUCGGUUAAAUCUGUACGCUCAACGUACAGGCUGCCGGGAAUACUGCAGAGCUAGGGAGUGGGAGAGGUAGACGGUACUCGGUAGGAAGGGGUAAAAUCCUUUGAUCUAUUGAUGACCACCUGUGGCGAAGGCGGUCUACCAGAACACGUCCGACGGUGAGGGAUGAAAGCUGGGGGAGCAAACCGGAUUAGAUACCCGUGUAGUCC